AUUGAACGCUGGCGGCAGGCCUAAUACAUGCAAGUCGAGCGGAGCGGCGGACGGGCGAGUAAUGCCUAGGUAUCUGCCUGGUAGUGGAGGCUAACGUACGGAAACGGGCGCUAAUACAGCAUACUAUCAGCUGAGCCUCGGGUGGAGGAGCUAGAUGGUGGGGUAAAGGCCUACCAAGGCGACGAUCCGUAACUGGUCUGAGAGGGUGAGCAGCCACACUGGAACUGAGACACGGUCCAGACUCCUACGGGAGGCAGCAGUAGGGAAUCUUGGGCAAUGGGCGAAAGCCUGAUCGAGCCACGCCGCGUGUGUGAAGAAGGUCUUCGGAUUGUAAAGCACUUUAAGUUGGGAAGCGUUACCAAAAGAGUAAGCACCGGCUAACUACGUGCCAGCAGCCGCGGUAAUAC
rnacentral:rRNA from 1 species